CUAUAGUUUCUUGAUAAAAUCAUGAUAAAAUCGAGUAUAAAUUAGAUGUUUCUGGAAAUUUCCUCGAUAUUUCGAUUGGAAUUUAAUUGGACUAUAUCCUUAACCUUCGGUUAUCCAACUGACAGGCAAAUUGGGCGAGAUACUAAUUUUAUGGCUGAGUGUGCAGGUCAAACACGUAUACGUUGAUGCUAAUCUAUCUUGAUUUUAUAUACAGAAAUAUCGGGACAAAACGGCAAGGAAUGUAGGCUGUUGUUAAACCCAAUCCAGGAGAAUCUAUUCUCUUUGUCAAUACAGGCCAGAUUGGAAAUUAUUGUGGGCAAAACACCUCGUCCAGGAUCAAUAGAAGUGGCUGAAACCGCCGGUUUGCUUUGAAUUUGGGCGUCAUAGCCGCGUCAGGAUGUACCGUAAAUAAUUUUGAGAAAAAGUAGGUAAUACGAAUUUUAUAUGAUUUAAAAAGAGAAACUCUGAAGGCAAAGUGAACUUGUUUUAUUAUAUUGACAUGUAUUCAUGAAUUACUGUAAAUUUAAAGUUGAUAUUUGAAUAAAUUCGUGAAUUAUUAUUAAACUAGUCUUGCAAAAUCGCCUAAAUGUAAGAUGUAUUAUAUUGUGUUCUACGAGGUGUUCUAAUUGACCAUUUGCGUAAUAGACUAAAUUUUGAUCUAGACAAAAAUUUCAUCACAGCUUGAAAGAGCAUCACAAAAUUAGUAAUAUUCCAAAAUUUGGUUGCGAAAUGUUGUAAAAUGUGGAUAAUAUAGCCUUGCGAAGUUUGCAAUU